UGGUGUUAUGGUAAUGCUAGUCUCAUAGA
rnacentral:piRNA from 1 species